GCAUUGCGGCAGCUUACACAUGCAGUCGAGCGGUAGCACAGGGGAGCUUGCUCCCUGGGUGACGAGCGGCGGACGGGUGAGUAAUGUCUGGGAAACUGCCUGAUGGAGGGGGAUAACUACUGGAAACGGUAGCUAAUACCGCAUAACGUCGCAAGACCAAAGAGGGGGACCUUCGGGCCUCUUGCCAUCAGAUGUGCCCAGAUGGGAUUAGCUAGUAGGUGGGGUAAUGGCUCACCUAGGCGACGAUCCCUAGCUGGUCUGAGAGGAUGACCAGCCACACUGGAACUGAGACACGGUCCAGACUCCUACGGGAGGCAGCAGUGGGGAAUAUUGCACAAUGGGCGCAAGCCUGAUGCAGCCAUGCCGCGUGUGUGAAGAAGGCCUUCGGGUUGUAAAGCACUUUCAGCGAGGAGGAAGGUGGUGAACUUAAUACGUUCAUCAAUUGACGUUACUCGCAGAAGAAGCACCGGCUAACUCCGUGCCAGCAGCCGCGGUAAUACGGAGGGUGCAAGCGUUAAUCGGAAUUACUGGGCGUAAAGCGCACGCAGGCGGUUUGUUAAGUCAGAUGUGAAAUCCCCGGGCUCAACCUGGGAACUGCAUUUGAAACUGGCAAGCUAGAGUCUCGUAGAGGGGGGUAGAAUUCCAGGUGUAGCGGUGAAAUGCGUAGAGAUCUGGAGGAAUACCGGUGGCGAAGGCGGCCCCCUGGACGAAGACUGACGCUCAGGUGCGAAAGCGUGGGGAGCAAACAGGAUUAGAUACCCUGGUAGUCCACGCUGUAAACGAUGUCGAUUUGGAGGUUGUGCCCUUGAGGCGUGGCUUCCGGAGCUAACGCGUUAAAUCGACCGCCUGGGGAGUACGGCCGCAAGGUUAAAACUCAAAUGAAUUGACGGGGGCCCGCACAAGCGGUGGAGCAUGUGGUUUAAUUCGAUGCAACGCGAAGAACCUUACCUACUCUUGACAUCCAGAGAACUUUCCAGAGAUGGAUUGGUGCCCUUCGGGAACUCUGAGACAGGUGCUGCAUGGCUGUCGUCAGCUCGUGUUGUGAAAUGUUGGGUUAAGUCCCGCACGAGCGCAACCCUUAUCCUUUGUGGCAGCGGAUCGGCGGUACUCAAGGAGACUGCAGUGAUAACUGAGGAAAGUGGGAAUGACGUCCAGUCAUCAUGUCUUACAGUAGCUACCACGUGCUACAUGCGUAUCAGAAGAACUACCCUCCCCGAGAGCCAAG
rnacentral:rRNA from 1 species